CCUACGGGAGGCAGCAGUGAGGAAUAUUGGUCAAUGGACGGAAGUCUGAACCAGCCAUGCCGCGUGCAGGAAGACGGCUCUAUGAGUUGUAAACUGCUUUUGUACAAGGGUAAACCUGAAUACGUGUAUUCAGCUGAAAGUACUGUACGAAUAAGGAUCGGCUAACUCCGUGCCAGCAGCCGCGGUAAUACGGAGGAUCCAAGCGUUAACCGGAUUUAUUGGGUUUAAAGGGUGAGUAGGCGGAUUGAUAAGUUAGAGGUGAAAUGUCCGGGCUUAACUCGGGAACUGCCUCUAAUACUGGUGAUCUAGAGAGUAGAUGCGGUAGGCGGAAUGUAUGGUGUAGCGGUGAAAGGCUUAGAGAUCAUACAGAACACCGAUUGCGAAGGCAGCUUACCAAUCUAUAUCUGACGUUGAGGCACGAAAGCGUGGGGAGCAAACAGGAUUAGAUACCCGGGUAGUC
rnacentral:rRNA from 1 species